GGGUGCGAUCAUACCAGUAUUAAUGCACCGGAUCCCAUCAGAACUCCGCAGUUAAACGUGCUUGGACGAGAGUAGUACUAGGAUGGGUGAUCUCCUGGGAAGUCCUCGUGUUGCACCCU
rnacentral:rRNA from 1 species